rnacentral:rRNA from 1 species
UUAUGGCUCAGGACGAACGCGGGCGGUGUGCUUCACACAUGCAAGUCGAACGAGGUAGCAAUACCUAGUGACGGACGGGUGAGUAACGCGUGGGAAUCUGCCCAAGGGUGGGGGAUAACUAGCCGAAAGGUUAGCUAAUACCGCAUAUGCCGUGAGGUAAAAGGAGUAAUCCGCCCCUGGAUGAGCCUGCGUCCGAUUAGCUAGUUGGUGGGGUAAAAGCCUACCAAGGCUACGAUCGGUAGCUGGUCUGAGAGGAUGAUCAGCCACAAUGGGACUGAGACACGGCCCAUACUCCUACGGGAGGCAGCAGUGGGGAAUUUUACGCAAUGGGCGAAAGCCUGACGUAGCGACACCGCGUGAGCGAAGAAGCCCUUUGGGGUGUAAAGCUCUGUCAGCAGGGACGAAUAAAUGACGGUACCUGCAGAGGAAGCAUCGGCUAACUACGUGCCAGCAGCCGCGGUAAGACGUAGGAUGCGAGCGUUGUCCGGAUUCAUUGGGCGUAAAGAGUUCGUAGGCGGUUUGUUAAGUCUGAUGUUAAAGAUCGGGGCCCAACCCUGGGAGUGCAUUGGAUACUGGCAGACUGGAGUGCAGUAGAGGCAAGUGGAAUUCCCAGUGUAGCGGUGAAAUGCGUAGAUAUUGGGAAGAACACCGGUGGCGCAGGCGACUUGCUGGGCUGUAACUGACGCUGAGGAACGAAAGCUAGGGGAGCAAAUGGGAUUAGAUACCCCAGUAGUCCUAGCUGUAAACGAUGGAUACUAGGCGUUGCAGGUAUCGACUCCUGCAGUGCCGCAGUUAACGCGAUAAGUAUCCCGCCUGAGUAGUACGGCCGCAAGGUUGAAACUCAA